AGAGUUUGAUCAUGGCUCAGAACGAACGUUGGCGGCGUGGAUUAGGCAUGCAAGUCGCACGAGAAAGGUUUCUUCGGAGACCGAGUAAAGUGGCGGACGGGUGAGUAAUGCAUAGAUAACUUGCCCCUGAGAUGGGAAUAACGCUUCGAAAGGAGUGCUAAUACCCAAUGCCGUCUCGGGUCGCAGGGCCCGAGAUGAAAGGAGGCCUCUGAUUCAAGCUUCCGCUCAGGGAGAGGUUUAUGUCCUAUUAGCUAGUUGGUGAGGUAAUGGCUCACCAAGGCUUCGAUGGGUAGCCGACCUGAGAGGGUGACCGGCCACACUGGGACUGAGACACUGCCCAGACUCCUACGGGAGGCUGCAGUCGAGAAUCUUCCGCAAUGCGCGCAAGCGUGACGGAGCGACGCCGCGUGGGCGAUGAAGGCCUUCGGGUUGUAAAGCCCUGUUAGCUACUAUGAACCGCGGGUGGUGAACAGCCAUCCCGCCUGACGUAAGUAGCAGAGAAAGCACCGGCUAACUACGUGCCAGCAGCCGCGGUAAUACGUAGGGUGCUAACGUUGUUCGGAAUCACUGGGCAUAAAGAGCGCGUAGGCGGUCUGAUAAGUCAGGUGUGAAAUCCCCCGGCUCAACCGGGGAACUGCACCUGAUACUGUUGGGCUUGAGUGCAGGAGGGGAGAGCGGAAUUCCUGGUGGAGCGGUGAAAUGCGUAGAUAUCAGGAGGAACGCCGGCGGCGAGAGCGGCUCUCUGGCCUGUUACUGACGCUGAGGCGCGAAAGCUAGGGGAGCAAACGGGAUUAGAUACCCCGGUAGUCCUAGCCCUAAACGAUGGGUACUAAGUAGAGGAAAUUCCGAUAUUUUCUCUGCCGGAGCUAAUGUAUUAAGUACCCCGCCU
rnacentral:rRNA from 1 species